rnacentral:rRNA from 1 species
CAGUAGCCGCGGGAAUACGUAGGGUGCGAGCGUUAAUCGGAAUUACUGGGCGUAAAGCGUGCGCAGGCGGUGAUGUAAGACAGGUGUGAAAUCCCCGGGCUUAACCUGGGAACUGCGCUUGUGACUGCACAGCUAGAGUAUGGCAGAGGGGGGUGGAAUUCCACGUGUAGCAGUGAAAUGCGUAGAGAUGUGGAGGAACACCGAUGGCGAAGGCAGCCCCCUGGGCCAAUACUGACGCUCAUGCACGAAAGCGUGGGGAGCAAACAGGAUUAGAUACCCCUGUAGUCCCUGUCUCUUAUAC